UACAGAGGUGGCAAGCGUUGUUCGGAAUUACUGGGCGUAAAGGGCGCGUAGGCGGCUCGACAAGUCCCGCGUGAAAUCCCCCGGCUCAACUGGGGAAUUGCGCGGGAAACUGUCGGACUUGAGUUCGGGAGAGGGAAGCGGAAUUCCGGGUGUAGCGGUGAAAUGCGUAGAUAUCCGGAGGAACACCGGUGGCGAAGGCGGCUUCCUGGACCGACACUGACGCUGAGGCGCGAAAGCUAGGGGAGCAAACGGG
rnacentral:rRNA from 1 species